rnacentral:tRNA from 1 species
AGGGAUAUAGCUCAGUGGUAGAGUGCAUGCUUAGCAUGCAUGACAACCUGGGUUCCAUCCCCAGUACCUCUA